GUUAACUGCAUUUCUACAAAAGUUUCAGAAGGUUGCAAAAGACUCAGGAAUUUUUACUGCACUCUUCACAGUGACAUUGGGAAAACAUCGAGGAAACCUUUUUUUUCUGUAGCAUCUUUUUUGUGCUAUUAAAAUUCUUAAUUUCUUAUAUUCUAAAAGAACAGAACUGGAUUUCAAAUGGGGUUUUAUGAAAAUUCCGAUGUUGCAAAAGCUUGAAGAGCAGGGAGGCUAUGAAUCUGAUAAUUUUAGAUGAUAUUAGGCUAUUAAACAAUCGAGGUGGUCAAAUGCAGGAAGAUGGAAGAAAUUUUUGCUAUUGAAAGAGAUGGUGUAAACGAAUAUGAAACAAAUAUGAAUUGAUUGAUGAGAUUCAGUUUGUUCAGUUAGCCUCCUUUAAUCUACUCUUUAAGUUCGAAAGGAAUUUAUAACAGAUUCAAGGUCAAAAGAAAUCCAUUUAUUUUCUUUGUUUCUUCUCAUUUGUCAAAUUCUGGAUAUCUAAAUAUAACAAAUACAUUUGGUUUUUUUUUUUUUUUUUUAAAUGAAUAAAUAAAGAUUCUCUCACAACUUCAAAAACCUAGAAUAAGUGCUUUGGAGCAUUAAUGGCAAUGGCAGCCGCAAGCACCGCCAAUAUCUGCCCUCUUUCAAACCCGUCUCCCUCCGCAAACCCUAAGCCGACCCAAAAAACCGAUCUCUCUCUUUCGUCCAAAAUCCAGCAGAAAACUCUUCUUUUUCUUCAAAAACAACAGUCCCGAACCAACAGAAGGGAAAAAAAAAAAAAUUCACUGUUUUUUCAUCACAAAUAAGGAAUACCCGGAUGAUGGUUUUGGAAAUUUUGAUGACAUAGACAAGCCACGUGAGGAGUGUGAUGUUGUGGGGAUAUACGGAGAGUCGGCGACCCUAGUGUUGAGCUUGCAUUUUCCCUGAAUUCAGACAUUACUUGGAUGGUGCUGAGCUUGCUGAUUGUAUCAGCAUAAACCCACGUAAAUGAUUCCUCGCUAACAUGGAUUGCUGUUGCUUGUGGGUCAAGCAACUUUGUUUACUAGUUGAUUCCUUGUCCUCUGAAUCAGAAAUCAUGGGAUACACUAGUUCUGAUUCCAAUCAUGCAGUAGAUUAUAAGGAUUGGUAAAUCGCUUUGAGCAGGAGAUUCAGAGCCAUAAAGCUUUGGAUUGUUAUUUGCAGAUAUGGCUUUGCUAGCCUUAUGGAGCACAUUCUUAGCGAUGUGGAAAUGGUUAAACGAUUUGAGGCGCUCGUGGUCAAAGACAGAGGAUUGAGAUUGUGGUGCCAAGAAGGUUUGCAUUGGUUUGCUUCAGGCUCAAAACAAAGCUUCAAUUCCAGGGCUCAGAAUUGAACCGUAAGCUGCUCGAUGCUGUGAAUUCAAUUGUUGGCGCUUUCAUUUCUCACUCGAUAACGGGUGGUGUGUAUUUCAUCAGCAGUUUCAACACUAACUGAAUAUCGUCAUGUAGCUAAUUUAUGGAAGCUCAUUCGAGAUAAGGCUCAAGUGUCGUUCUUGCAGGAUGUCACUAGUGUUAGUUAAGUAAACCAACAAAACAUUAUGAAGAACAAAUAGGGAAUAAUUUGAUAUGUGCCCCAGAUAACAAGCAAGAGCCAACCAUGCUUCCCACGUACUUGGACCAUGCCUGGACUUAGUUUUUAGCUUGUUUUGAAAAUAAAUGGGUUCUGGACAUGUGGAUCACUUACUACAUGUGUAAUAUUGCCCAUCUUUCCCAUUAUUUCCGUAUAUCAUGCAUUAUUGAGUUUGUGUGCAUCUUUUGUGGGUUAUAGGUAGUUAGUAAUGGAAUUGUAUGCUCCCAUUGGCUUUUAUAAAAAGCCAAGUAGAUGUUUAAAGAGAGGAGGACGAAAAAAAGAUUAUUUUCCCCAAAGUUAUUGUCUUCUCUAAAUUCUUUUCUCUCCACUGCUAUUGUUACCAAAUUCUUGCUCAUUACAUAUCAUAAUUCUUUCAUUUAGAAUUGUUUUCUAAAUCGUCAUGUAGAUAAUUUUCCCUUCACUCCUUGAUCUUAUCAUAUAAUUCUUUCAUUUAGAAAACCAUUUCAUUGAUCUCGUCAAGCAAAAGAUUAAUUUUGAGGAUUAGUUUUCAUUCCCUUUUUCUUUUGACAUCAUUUCCUUUAUGACAGUGGAAAUGGUGGUUGAUGUGUGGUCAAUUUUUUUUUUUUUUAAUGAAGAAAUUGAAAAAUUGAAGAACAAUUACAAAGGAACUCACAUCUCUCUUCUUUAGAACACUAUUAUGGUGGCUAAUCCUAGACCCAUGAAUUUAAGGAAUCUCAAACUCAUUUCAAUAUUAUGAAAACUUAAAAACAUAAUGGAAAGAAUAUAAAUUUUACUUUUAUUAAUUCAUAAGCACAAAAGUUCAACUUAUACAAGAAUUUGAAACAUAAAAAGAAUUUGAUAAAAUUAACAUUAUUUAAGAAUAUUGAUUGAUUAGAAAAGAUUGAAUUAAUUAAUUUUUAUGUUGAUUAUAGUCGGUCUUCUCUUAAUCAAUAAUUAAGAUGAAGACAAUCAUUUAAUUGAUUGAUUUUAUUAAUUAUUUUAUUUCUAUCAAUAUUAUUUGAUUCUUAUCAGUCUCAUGAUAGAUACCUUUGAAGUUGUUUUUGCUAUACAGACUUAACUUUAUAAUUCUUUUAAACAUUUAAAUCAAACUUAGAUUUGUAAAGUAAUUCCAGAGGAUAUUCGGAGAGGGCUAUAAAACUUAAAUAUCUAUAUUUUCUAUAUUUAUUUGGCAAAGAUAUAAGCCAAUCAAAGCGUAAGGGGUCUUCUAAUCAUGAAUCUGUUGAAAACUGUGGCAGCGUUUGGCCAAGAAACAUGCAGGAAUCUUCGUGCUCGGCAAAUGCAGAAUGGUGCGCCUAUCUAUCAAAUGUUUGAUCAAUUACCCUUUAUUUUUAAAUUUAUUUUUUUAAGAGAGGGAAGCGAUUGAGUUUUUAUUAAAAAAUAACAAUAAUAAUAGAAGAGUAAUUUUAAUUAAAAAAAGGUUCUACGAUCGUAUAUCAAAAGGGAGGAUCUUACUUGAUUCCUUUUGGUUUGAGAAAUCAGAAUGUUUUUGUUACUUCACAAAUUGUCAUAAAAAGACAGUUUUGAAUAAUUAUCGUUAUUUGCUUACAUUGUGCUGUAGGAUCAUUGUUUGGAAGCAUUGAUGCAGCUAAAUGUGGUCUUACUGUAAAGCUAAUGCAGGUGAGAUUUGAUACAUGCACAAAAACAUAUAUGCAUACACAUUCAUCUACACAUUCACGUAUCCUAGUUUAACGUGAAUAUGGAGCUUGAAAAAAUAAAUCUUUACUUUAGAAUAAUUAAGCCACAAAUUUUAUAUAUGUUAUGUCAUGGAGUAUAUCCAAGACUUGCUACCAUUUGGCGGGCAAAACUGCAAAGUUAGAUAUUUGUGUAUCAAUUAGACUUGACUGUCAUCUGACGUCACUGCUUCAAUGCUUAGUACACAAGUCUAAUAUCAAAAUUGGUGUCCCGGUCAUAGGCUUCACAUUCUAUUUAAGUUUUGGAUAAUGAAAUUACUUUCUUAUACAAUAUCUUUACUUGUAAUAAUAUUGUUGGACUAAGCAAGCAUCUUAUAUUGAGUGGAAGGGCAGGUUAAUCAGUAGAGAGGCCAAAACUCCUUUUGUUUUUUAAUGAGAUUGUUCCUGAUUCUGAAAGCUACCAAUUGUAGGAGGGAAGAAUGAGGGGCCAGGCCUUUGUGACAUUUCCAUCAGUUGAACUUGCUCAUCGUGCUUUGGUAUGUUUCAUACACUAAGCUAUUUGAUGUGCCAAUUCUCAAAUUUCUAGAGCAUGUCAGCUUUUGCAUAUGUAGUAUAUUUGGCACGCAGUUUUGCUUAAAUACCUACAAGUGAUUUUUUGCUUCUAUAUUUUAACCUCUGAAGUAAUUGUGAAGCAUUGUUUGUUUGUAAUCUUGACUGGUUGCAGAAUCUUGUAAAUGGAUAUGUUUUCAAGGGGAAACCAAUGAUCAUCCAGUUUGGGCGGAAUCCUGCAGCUGCAAAACCAAAUUAAAUCUCUGCUUCAACAGGAGGAAGCUCUUUAUACUGCCACUUUCAUGGUUAGUACUUUAUUAAAUAUUACCUUCUCAAGUUCCUCAGCAAGCUUUACCAAAAUCCAUGAAGUCGAGGACUUUUGUUUAUAUGUGAUUGGUGCUUCUCUGUUGAGUAAAUUGCAGCGUGAACAAACUUUACGUAAUCUUGGUGACUUAGUAUAGUUUCUGGUUUAUGCUAUUAGUGAUUUGCCUUGUAUCAGUCCUAAAUAUAAACAAACAGAACUUGGCUAAAAUUGAUACAGCUAUUUCUUUUGCAUGUCUUCAGGUACUUGCAUCGCAUCAUCUGGAAAAUGCCAUAUCUUUCUAUAAAAUGCGGACCAUUGCAGACAUGGAGUAUACGGUUGCCUACCCGAUAUCCCAGUCCUAUUAAUAAGGCAGUCCUACUAGAUCAAGGGUUCAAACCUAUAAAGGUGGCAGUCAUCCUCACCAUUGUACCCAUGAAUCUGGGAUACAAACAUGUCCGUGGUCAGCCCAAAACGGGAAGGUGAAGACCUUUUUGCUGUGCCCUGCUGAAGAUCACUCCGUAUAAAAGCACGUCAAUGGACUUGUUAACUGCAUUUCUACAAAAGUUUCAGAAGGUUGCAAAAGACUCAGGAAUUUUUACUGCACUCUUCACAGUGACAUUGGGAAAACAUCGAGGAAACCUUUUUUUUCUGUAGCAUCUUUUUUGUGCUAUUAAAAUUCUUAAUUUCUUAUAUUCUAAAAGAACAGAACUGGAUUUCAAAUGGGGUUUUAUGAAAAUUCCGAUGUUGCAAAAGCUUGAAGAGCAGGGAGGCUAUGAAUCUGAUAAUUUUAGAUGAUAUUAGGCUAUUAAACAAUCGAGGUGGUCAAAUGCAGGAAGAUGGAAGAAAUUUUUGCUAUUGAAAGAGAUGGUGUAAACGAAUAUGAAACAAAUAUGAAUUGAUUGAUGAGAUUCAGUUUGUUCAGUUAGCCUCCUUUAAUCUACUCUUUAAGUUCGAAAGGAAUUUAUAACAGAUUCAAGGUCAAAAGAAAUCCAUUUAUUUUCUUUGUUUCUUCUCAUU
rnacentral:lncRNA from 1 species